UAAGCCGCCGCCGGUGAACUCGACCGGAACCACCCUUCACGCCCCUGCUUCUCUGUGGCUGGCCUCCGUGGAUCCGACCAGUCUACCGCCCACCACGGCGUCCGCUCGCUUUCUGCGACCUCAUCCCCAGUUCAGCACAAGCUCACACCCCUCGCAUCCCACUCCCCCUCCAGCAAUGGCCGCACCCGCCGGCCGGGGUGUAUUUAGCCUGCGGUCACCAGUUCGUCUGCGGGCUUAAUCUGGGGCAAUAGUUGCAUUUUAAGACGACAGCAGAUAGAAGACACUGAACACAAGUAUUGCCUGUGACAUGGCACUGUAAUAACCGCCUGGAGUAUGAAUGCCGGGAGCUGGCACACACUCAAAUGGGGGCUGGACCGACGACCGGAGCUGUUGAUCUCCGUCUGGCUAGUAGCUGAUGCUGACUUGGCAUUCCGGUCAAUGGCUAGUAGCUGAAGAUUUUUCAAGUGCGGGCACGUAGCAGCGGGUUUCCUAUUAGUGCAUCGAACUCGCUCUGUCUUUCUUGUCUCCUUACUAUCACGCCCCGAAUGGAGCGUCGUUGGGAGAAGCGUCGAGGUGUCGAGCUCGUGGCAUGGCCAAAUUUGCAGAAGCAGAACAAGGCAGGCUGAAUCGAACGGUCGAAGUUGAACCAGCGCAACUGCAGGACAAUAUUCAGGCUGAAGCUACUACUGUCGAAACUGAACCAGCGCAAGUGCAGAGCAACAUUCAGACUGAAGCUACUACUACUGAUGAUCUGGCUGGUGGGACCCGCAGGUCAGCUCGACCCCUAGGCCCGUCCACGUAGUGGGUUCUAUGUUAGCAGUGGGUGCGUUUGUAAGCGUGUUGGUUGAGUGUAGUAUUCAUAGCCGCUAUUGGGGAUGAUUUUGGCAUCCUUCCAUCCAUCUUCUC